GUAUGGUGAGCUCUUAGUUCAGUACUUGGCUUAUAAUAAAUGCUCAAGGAGUGAGAAUUCAUGGUGCUGCGGUCGAAAGCUUACACAUGAGUUCUGAGAGUGAACAUCUCCAGCCCUCAAAAUUGUUGUCCUGUCCUACUCUGCUGUUACAACCUAGCCAUCGCAUGUUGACAAACUCCUAUCAGGAAUGCACAGCAGGCUUCACGUUAUGUUUCUGAGAUUUACUAUGUAGACCCUCGGAGACCACAUGUGUGGUAGUACACUGAGGAGGAUCAGGAAUCCAGUGUUAGCCUGAGCUAUGUAAGGAGAAACCUACUUCAAAGCAAACAAGGACCGGUGGGCGGAGCAACCUAAGUGCUUCGUUUUACUCUUUACUGGUCCAUAUUGCAGUUGUCGAGAAAAGUAAUCUGCAUUUCUUCUGGGUGUGAAAGAAAGGACUACAAACCAGAAGAACUUGCAAAGUCAUUACUAGCCCAUUAAGAUUGUGACAUCUGAUCCCAGCCAGUGGGGAAAACACAAUCACCACCUUCCUCAGAAUAAAAGCCAGGAACUUCCUGC
ensembl:lncRNA